GAGCUUGAUCGUGGCUCAGGACGAACGCUGGCGGCGUGCUUAACACAUGCAAGUCGAACGGGCAUCUUCGGGUGUUAGUGGCGAACGGGUGAGUAACACGUGGGCAACCUGCCCCUAGCUCUGGGAUAACUCCGGGAAACCGGGGCUAAUACUGGAUAUGACUGGCCUGCGCAUGUGGGUUGGUGGAAAGUUUUUCGGCUAGGGAUGGGCCCGCGGCCUAUCAGCUUGUUGGUGGGGUGAUGGCCUACCAAGGCGACGACGGGUAGCCGGCCUGAGAGGGCGACCGGCCACACUGGGACUGAGACACGGCCCAGACUCCUACGGGAGGCAGCAGUGGGGAAUAUUGCGCAAUGGCGGAAGCCUGACGCAGCGACGCCGCGUGGGGGAUGACGGCCUU
rnacentral:rRNA from 1 species